rnacentral:rRNA from 1 species
UACGUAGGGCGCGAGCGUUGUCCGGAAUUAUUGGGCGUAAAGAGCUCGUAGGCGGCCUGUCGCGUCAAUUGUGAAAGCCCGGGGCUUAACCCCGGGUCUGCAGUCGAUACGGGCAGGCUAGAGUGUGGUAGGGGAGAUCGGAAUUCCUGGUGUAGCGGUGAAAUGCGCAGAUAUCAGGAGGAACACCAAUGGCGAAGGCAGCUCGCUGGGACGGUACUGACGCUGAGACGCGAAAGCGUGGGGAGCAAACAGG